rnacentral:lncRNA from 1 species
GGGGCCUAUUUCUGUUCUGUGCAUGCUUUGGGCUCUUUGCUGCCUGUUCCAGGCAGUCUCAUAUCUGAGCAGGUGCUGUCUUGUUCUGUGCACUAGGUGGUUGGUGAAGGAGCUUUGUCCCACAGUUACCAGUUUUGGAGACGGGAUCUCCCACUUUUGUGGUGGAGCCUGGGCCCAUGGGUUGGGGCCUGUAGCUCUGCCCUGAGGGCCAUCUCCUGGCUACUGGACCCCAGGCUGCAGAGGGCCCGUGGGAUCGUAGGGGAAGCCGCAAUCAGAAGUCAGGAGAGGAGAACUGUCUUUCUUCUCCUGUCACUUUCUGAUUGUAAGAGACAGAGAUUUGGGGGCCGGUGGUUUGGGGGCCGUUGGUUCACGGGGAAGGUGACCCUGGGGCGCCCUGGGGGAGGGAGUGAGCUGGAGAGGGAGGAAGCCAAGAACAUCGGGUUCCGGGAGGUGUCGCCGAGCCUCUCCCCAGGCACUCGCUCAUUUCCUGAUUUCUGCAUUUAUUCAGCAUGUUUAUUUGAGAGCCGCUGCUGGGCUGGCCCCUUUUGUGAGAGCUAGGAAAACGGCAGGCAGUGCUUGCUGGGCAGCUGGGUCUGUGUUCUCCCGUAGUUAUAGGAUGUGUAAGGUCAAGCCCCCUUUCCUUUCCUCCUGGAGUUGACCUUCGGGCUCUGGGGAAGGUGGGCUGGGAUGCCGAGUAUAUGGCCAGGUCCNNNNNNNNNNNNNNNNNNNNNNNNNNNNNNNNNNNNNNNNNNNNNNNNNNNNCGGGGGUGGGGGUGGGUUGAUGGAGUGAGCGCUGGCAAGUGAAGACUGGUCCGGCACUGAGCCCAGCUUCCCUCUGGCAGCACCCAGUUGCCCCUCUGCCCAGCCCAUCGGGGGCCUGCCCUUCUUCCUCUCAGCUCAGAGCCAUGCCCGGGCCUGGGGAAGCUGCAGUGGAAGAGGAAUGACUUAUCCCCUCCUGCAGGCGCCAUGAUCCAGGGUCACGUCCUGUCUCCAUGGAAACGGCUGCUCCACUCUUUCCUGCUCCCUAUCCUACCCCUGCUACUGGAAGGUGACUCACCUGUUUCCUGGACUCUGAUCAGGAGUAUUCUGACCUUGGAACUCCACCCUGUUGUCUUCCCAGGUGCCUGCCCUCACCUGCCCAGGUGGGUCACUCAGCCAGCAUCUUAGUCCCACAGAGACUCCCUGGCACCCACGUGCCCUGGCUGGCAUCAGGCUCCUGGACCUUUCCUCCCUGUGGGUGCAGAGGGCCUUAACCAGCACCUCACAGGGACUCCGGACAGACUUGUCGAAUGGGACGGGCUCAUUCCUGCUAGAAUCUCUUGCAGAUCCACUGCAGAUCCCAGCUUGUGGACUGUGUGCACACCUUGUUCUCACGGCUCCCACACUUCUGUGGGCCCCGGCUUUGCCUUCAGCAGAGCAGCUGCUGGAGGAAUCUUCUGGGGAAACUUGACUGAUGACAGGGAGGGCAGGCACUGUGCGGUGACCAGGUCUCAGGUGCUGUUCUCAAGACAGUCUAUUUUUUUUUUUAAUUUGUUUUUUAAUUGAAGUAUAGUUGAAUCACAAUGUUGUUUGGUUUCUGCUAUAGAGCAGAGUGGCUCGGUUGCACACAGAUAUACAUUCUUUUUAUAUAUGGGACGGUCUAAUUUUACCCCUGUUUCACUCUUCGCACAAUCCAGUGAGGUAGGUUAGCAUUAGCAUCGUCAUCUUAUGGGUGGGGAAACUGAGGCACAGAGAGGCUAUCGCACUUGUCCUGGGUCACGAGAUCAGGAAGUGGCUGAGCUGAGGCUUGAAUCUGCAGGUCUGCUCUGAAGCCCCUGCUCACACCCUCCACCCCCCACCCGCCCUGUGUCACAGACCCUCUCAGUUCCUGCCCACCCACCCCCGCCGGUCCUGUGGCUUUAGUCC